rnacentral:rRNA from 1 species
UACAUCGCACCGCAUGGUGCAAUGUUGAAAGUUGGCUUUCUGAGCUAACACUGCAGGAUGGGCCCGCGGCGCAUUAGCUAGUUGGUAAGGUAAUGGCUUACCAAGGCGACGAUGCGUAGCCGACCUGAGAGGGUGAUCGGCCACACUGGGACUGAGACACGGCCCAGACUCCUACGGGAGGCAGCAGUAGGGAAUCUUCCGCAAUGGACGAAAGUCUGACGGAGCAACGCCGCGUGAGUGACGAAGGCCUUCGGGUCGUAAAGCUCUGUUGUUAGGGAAGAACAAGUACCGUUCGAAUAGGGCGGUACCUUGACGGUACCUAACCAGAAAGCCACGGCUAACUACGUGCCAGCAGCCGCGGUAAUACGUAGGUGGCAAGCGUUGUCCGGAAUUAUUGGGCGUAAAGCGCGCGCAGGCGGUCUUUUAAGUCUGAUGUGAAAGCCCACGGCUCAACCGUGGAGGGUCAUUGGAAACUGGAGGACUUGAGUGCAGAAGAGGAGAGUGGAAUUCCACGUGUAGCGGUGAAAUGCGUAGAUAUGUGGAGGAACACCAGUGGCGAAGGCGGCUCUCUGGUCUGUAACUGACGCUGAGGCGCGAAAGCGUGGGGAGCAAACAG